rnacentral:rRNA from 1 species
AGGCCUAACACAUGCAAGUCGCACGAGAAUUGGUCUUCGGACCAUAGUAAAGUGGCGGACGGGUGAGUAACACGUGGAUAAUCUGCCCUUCGGCGGGGGACAACAGUCCGAAAGGAUUGCUAAUACCGCAUACGUCGGCAAGGUCUUCGGAUCUUGCCGGGAAAGAUGGCCUCUUCAUGAAAGCUAUCACCGAAGGAUGAGUCCGCGGCCCAUCAGCUAGUUGGCGGUGUAAUAGACCACCAAGGCUAAGACGGGUAGCUGGUCUGAGAGGAUGAUCAGCCACACUGGAACUGAGACACGGUCCAG